rnacentral:lncRNA from 1 species
AGAUUGGUCUAAUAAUUUGUUAACAGAAUGAUGAGAAAAUAAGAUUAUAUCUCAUUCGUAUUUACUUUGAAAAUUUUCUUGCAGUUUCUAUUAGGGGGUUGAGUUAUCAACUCAUCAGUUACCAUGUACCAAAAAUCUUUUCCUAAAUAUUCUUGUAUUUUCUUGCUAUGUAGGCCUUUAAAGUCUCUAGUAGUUCACCAAGUCAUUGAAAUGAAUUCACCUUCUUAUCUUCCAACUUCCUAUCAUACAGUUAUAUAUUUGUUCUGUAUUUUGGAAUGAAGAUUUUUUUUAUGUCCUAUAUUUUGUAUGAUUUUCAGAGUCUAAAAGGUUUAUGUACUCAGGAGAGAAAUAUUUGCUCUUACUGUCAGCAGCUUAUCUGAUUAUAAAGAUAAAAAGGGUAAAGGAGUAUAUACUCUGAUAAUUGUUGAUUUUUAAAAGUGGACUCCUGAAGGUGUCUGUCUUUGCAAUACUUUUGUCAGAGAACAGACUUUUUAAGCAUUAAUAUCUGCUACUUAUUGGACCUCUUUGUGUCUCUACAUGGCUCUUCUAAUACG